GAUGAACGCUGACAGAAUGCUUAACACAUGCAAGUCAACUUGAAUUUGGGUUUUUAACUUAGGUUUGGGUGGCGGACGGGUGAGUAACGCGUAAAGAACUUGCCUCACAGCUAGGGACAACAUUUGGAAACGAAUGCUAAUACCUAAUAUUAUGAUAAUAGGGCAUCCUAUAAUUAUGAAAGCUAUAAGCGCUGUGAGAGAGCUUUGCGUCCCAUUAGCUAGUUGGAGAGGUAACGGCUCACCAAGGCGAUGAUGGGUAGCCGGCCUGAGAGGGUGAUCGGCCACAAGGGGACUGAGACACGGCCCUAACUCCUACGGGAGGCAGCAGUGGGGAAUAUUGGACAAUGGACCGAGAGUCUGAUCCAGCAAUUCUGUGUGCACGAUGAAGUUUUUCGGAAUGUAAAGUGCUUUCAGUUGGGAAGAAACAAAUGACGGUACCAACAGAAGAAGUGACGGCUAAAUACGUG
rnacentral:rRNA from 1 species